CAACUACUGAAAGGAGGUGAUCUAGUGUCUCAUUGUCUCCAACCGCGGUCGCAAGUGGUGACCUGGAGCCUUAAGAGCGAGGUUUCCGCCUAGAGCGUGGCAGCCAAAAGUGUGAGCGGUUUUGGCGUCAGCCACGCUCUAAACUUUUGAGUCUGAGCCUGCUGAUCCGUUUCGGACGUUCCGUCCGAAAAGGGCAGGCUCCGGGCGUUGAACGCCAAAGGUUCUGAGUCACACGCUGCUUGCGAAAGCGGCCACGACGAUGGAGGGCCGUCCCGAGCAAUCGGGGCGGCCC
rnacentral:sRNA from 1 species